rnacentral:rRNA from 1 species
UACGGGGGGGGCAAGCGUUGUUCGGAAUUACUGGGCGUAAAGGGCUCGUAGGUGGCCAACUAAGUCAGACGUGAAAUCCCUCGGCUUAACCGGGGAACUGCGUCUGAUACUGGAUGGCUUGAGUUCGGGGAGAGGGAUGCGGAAUUCCAGGUGUAGCGGUGAAAUGCGUAGAUAUCAGGAGGAACACCGGUGGCGAAGGCGGGUCUCUGGGCCGAAAUUGACGCUGAGGAGCGAAAGCGUGGGGAGCAAACAGG